rnacentral:rRNA from 1 species
UACUACGGCCAUAGCAUCUCAUCUGAUCUUGGAAACUAACCAGGAUUGGUUUUGCUUAGUACUUUGUGUGGGAGACCAUCUGGGAAUACUCGGCGUUGUAGGCU